rnacentral:misc_RNA from 1 species
UGGGUUGGGCACCUUGGGUGU